CGGCGUCGAGCGGCGGACGGGUGAGUAAUGCCUGGGAAAUUGCCCUGAUGUGGGGGAUAACCAUUGGAAACGAUGGCUAAUACCGCAUAAUAGCUUCGGCUCAAAGAGGGGGACCUUCGGGCCUCUCGCGUCAGGAUAUGCCCAGGUGGGAUUAGCUAGUUGGUGAGGUAAGGGCUCACCAAGGCGACGAUCCCUAGCUGGUCUGAGAGGAUGAUCAGCCACACUGGAACUGAGACACGGUCCAGACUCCUACGGGAGGCAGCAGUGGGGAAUAUUGCACAAUGGGCGCAAGCCUGAUGCAGCCAUGCCGCGUGUGUGAAGAAGGCCUUCGGGUUGUAAAGCACUUUCAGUCGUGAGGAAGGUAGUGUGUUUAAUAGAUGCAUUAUUUGACGUUAGCGACAGAAGAAGCACCGGCUAACUCCGUGCCAGCAGCCGCGGUAAUACGGAGGGUGCGAGCGUUAAUCGGAAUUACUGGGCGUAAAGCGCAUGCAGGUGGUGUGUUAAGUCAGAUGUGAAAGCCCGGGGCUCAACCUCGGAAUUGCAUUUGAAACUGGCAGACUAGAGUACUGUAGAGGGGGGUAGAAUUUCAGGUGUAGCGGUGAAAUGCGUAGAGAUC
rnacentral:rRNA from 1 species